UUCUAUUGAUGGCCCUGUUGAAUUUUGUAUGCGCCAAGCCGCCCUCUUCACUCUAGAUGACCCUGAAGUUCUCAUCAUGGGAGGAAGUACUGUUAACAAGCACAGCGUACCCGGCACUUCUGAGGAGAUGCAGCCUGGGAAUUCAGUGGACAUAUAACCCCAAGAGAUUGCCACAGCACAAGAUGAGAGGCUGUAUACAUGAGGUGGGUGCCUUUUUUUAAAGGUGGAAUUCUAUAACCUGAGGUUAGCCAUUGUGAAGUGAGUGCUCAGCAGAAUUUGGUGCAUUCUCAAUGUUGGCCACCCAUAACUCCACCUGGUGCCAGAGCACCAACCCAGAGAACACGUCACACCUACUGACCAGGUCUUGCUUCCCCAGAGCGCCUGCCACCAGCAAUCAGCUCCAUGUCACUGUGGACCACCUGUGCGGGGACUUCCUCGCGGGGGAAUGGUAGCCU
rnacentral:lncRNA from 1 species